AUUCAGUAUGUAAUGCUUACCCUGUUUACCCCAGGUAGUCUUUGGAAGAUUCAGUAUGUAAUGCUUACCCUGUUUACCCCAGGUAGUCUUUGGAAGAUUCAGUAUGUAAUUCUUACCCUGUUUACACCGGGUAGUCUUUGGAAGAUUCAGUAUGUAAUGCUUACCCUGUUUACCCCAGGUAGUCUUUGGAAGAUUCAGUAUGUAAUGCUUACCCUGUUUACCCCAGGUAGUCUUUGGAAGAUUCAGUAUGUAAUGCUUACCCUGUUUACCCCAGGUAGUCUUUGGAAGAUUCAGUAUGUAAUUCUUACCCUGUUUACCCCAGGUAGUC